rnacentral:rRNA from 1 species
UCGAUUUGGAGUUUGUUGCCUAGAGUGAUGGGCUCCGAAGCUAACGCGAUAAAUCGACCGCCUGGGGAGUACGGCCGCAAGGUUAAAACUCAAAUGAAUUGACGGGGGCCCGCACAAGCGGUGGAGCAUGUGGUUUAAUUCGAUGCAACGCGAAGAACCUUACCUGGUCUUGACGUCCACAGAAUCUUGCAGAGAUGCGAGAGUGCCUUCGGGAACUGUGAGACAGGUGCUGCAUGGCUGUCGUCAGCUCGUGUUGUGAAAUGUUGGGUUAAGUCCCGCAACGAGCGCAACCCUUAUCCUUUGUUGCCAUUGGUUCGGCCGGGAACUCAAAGGAGACUGCCGUUGAUAAAGCGGAGGAAGGUGGGGACGACGUCAAGUCAUCAUGGCCCUUACGACCAGGGCUACACACGUGCUACAAUGGCGUAUACAAAGGGAGGCGACCUCGCGAGAGCAAGCGGACCUCAUAAAGUACGUCUAAGUCCGGAUUGGAGUCUGCAACUCGACUCCAUGAAGUCGGAAUCGCUAGUAAUCGUGAAUCAGAAUGUCACGGUGAAUACGUUCCCGGGCCU